rnacentral:rRNA from 1 species
AACGAACGCUGGCGGCAUGCCUAACACAUGCAAGUCGAACGAGACCUUCGGGUCUAGUGGCGCACGGGUGCGUAACGCGUGGGAAUCUGCCCCUCGGUUCGGAAUAACACAGAGAAAUUUGUGCUAAUACCGGAUAAUGACUUCGGUCCAAAGAUUUAUCGCCGAGGGAUGAGCCCGCGUAAGAUUAGCUUGUUGGUGGGGUAAUGGCCUACCAAGGCGACGAUCUUUAGCUGGUCUGAGAGGAUGAUCAGCCACACUGGGACUGAGACACGGCCCAGACUCCUACGGGAGGCAGCAGUGGGGAAUAUUGGACAAUGGGCGAAAGCCUGAUCCAGCAAUGCCGCGUGAGUGAUGAAGGCCUUAGGGUUGUAAAGCUCUUUUACCAGGGAUGAUAAAUGACAGUACCUGGAGAAUAAAGCUCCGGCUAACUCCGUG